UUCAAGCUACCAAAACACUUCCCACUUGCAACACUUUUCAAUUCUUCUCUGUUUUUUUUACAGCUAUUUUGGAGGGCUUCAUUUCAAUGGCAAAACCACAAUUCUUAAUGAAUCACAUAUAAAUACAUUCAACUUAUGCUAUUACAUUCUUUUUCACAUGCCAUCACUGGUGCCAAGCUAGAUGCCUCUCAAGCAAAGAUGUCUGAUUCUGGAACUAAGUUAUUGUCACACUCAUUUGUGAAUAAAAUUCUGAUUAUUUAAGACAUAAAAUAAAGCAGCUACACCUCAGUGCUUUCACGUCCACCUCACAGAAGACUCCUGACCGACCCAUCAGUGGAAAAGAAAGUCUCCACUUUGUGCAAUUUUAUUAAUGCAUGCCAUGGUAAAUGCUAACAAGAGAAACUCUUUGCUUGGCUUGACAGAUCAGCUUGCAACAUACACCUUGUAUCUGCGCUGUGAGUCUUAGGACAAAGCUCUGACCAAAGAGCUGCUGGCUGGACCUGCCACAUUCCUCCACAGCAAUGACAUAACGGCCAGAUUCCAUUCUCCUUCAUUUUUCCAUUGAUGAGAUGAUGAUCAAUUUUCAGUAGAUUAAUUAAAAAUAUGUCGCAGAUAAAUGAGAUGCUUAGGUGCAAGCUCAUCAUGAAAGAAUGACUUUCAAAGGAAACAACAGAUCCCUGACAAUUUCAUAGAAGCAGACCAAAAAUAAUUCUCAAUUUUUAAUUUUCACAAGUCAAACAAAACAGUCCAUAAAUUCAACCAUGUCUCACCCAAAAGAUUAAGCACCUGUUUAUUUACUGUUCGUACUGCCAUACAAUCUUACAACACACGAACUUCACAUGCAAAUGAACGCCACAAGCUCUUGCCUAAAGAGUUUUCCUUCGUAAAGGUCUGGAUCCGGAGCGAACGUAUGCAUGGAAGAAACUUCACUAGAUUUAGAAAUAAAACGACUUGCACAAGUAAAGCUAUCCACGUUCAUCCUGUUCAUUUUCACACUCUAUGAUAGGAGAAACAAAGCCCAGAGAAGAAACAAGACUGGUGAUGGGAAGAAGCAUUACUCUGUUUACAUUCAGGAGGUAACUUGUUCCUGUGUGUGUGUUCUUUUACAUUACAAUAUCACUAGGGAGACACAAUGGUAUGUAGAGGAUAAAAGGAUAGCAAAAAAAAUUAGGUUGGAAGAGACAUCCAGAGGUCAUCUGGAUUUUAUAGCAGGUUUUAUAGCAAAUGGUUUGGUUAUUUGUGUAAUGAAAACCCAGCUAGUGUUAAAAUUACAGAAGAUGUGCACAGGCAUCAAGAGAGAAACACAUUUAAAAACAAAGAUAUUUGAGAACUGGUUCUUUUUUUAUGUUACAUUUGCAAAUGUAGGCUCUCAAUCCAGAGUUUACAUUUCUUCAACAGCUGUCGCCGUCACUAAUGAGUUAGAAGAAAAGAACAGGGCAAAAUGCAGCUUUUGAACUUUUCUGUUCUAGAUUUCAACGGAUGUAACAAGCAAGGAGGUCUGAAACGUUGGCAAGUGUUAAGCCUUUCAGUUCACCUCUAUAUGAAGAUGCUGCAUUAAAAAAUGCCACUUCAUCUGCAUACUGCAAAACCAGCACUCUGCCGCUGCAAAAUUUAUCCUAUUCUGCAUUCAGGUUAUGCACAGAAGGAGGGGUGGAGGUGGAUGCAUAUUCAGAGGGCGUGUGAACUGCAUAACAAUGCGCAUGAUUUGCUCAAAUAAAACCAUCUUACUAAUUAUAUGCAAUGAAGAACUGCAAAAAGUUGUAUAAAGAUGUUUAAGGGCAUCCAAUGCUUACGUGCAACCUCAUGCUUGCACCUCCUGACGGCUUCUUCCAAAAGUUGAGCUGCCUGCUGAGGCUGCUGAACAGAACAGCGAUUGUCACGGAAGAAAAGAAGGAUACAUCAGUGUAUGAAAGGAAAAAUCCCGACAGCUCUUACAAACCUAUUUGUUUCUGCUUCCACGCGCUCCAGAUUAGUAUCUCAUCCUGUUUCUUUUAGUUUUUGUUCAUGACACACAUCAAGUCAACCCAAGCCCUGCUAACCCUGCCCUGGCCAAAUAUGUAUCACAAAAAGAUGGAAGCAAGUAGCAUCUGUUUUAGUGUGUUAAUCCAUAUAGUUUGUCAACUGUCAGUAACUCUGCUUUGGUGAUCAAUAAACUUGAAAACGUAGCAUUUGCAGAGAAGCAAAGGCAAUUUUGCACUGCACUGUAUUUUGGAUGCCGCCUCUGUUGACUGGGAAUUUUGUCAUUUCCAGAAUUUUAUGAAGGGAGGAAUGACUGCAUUGAACAAAGAAGGAUUUUUCAGCUGAUGUGAUGUGACAUACAUCUCAAGGAAUUAAAGAAUAAAUGAAGGGAAAGAUGCUUCACAAUACCUAAUUCAGUGGUGCAGCUAAAAUGGGGGAGAAGAAAAUCAAUACAUUCCAGCUACAUCAGAUGCUGCGCUCCUUCUAUGCUGAUCCUUGUGCACUGACAAAGUCAGAUGGGAAAAAGACGCAAAACCACCCAACAGUAUCUGAUCAGGUGGUUGGAAGAGGCCGCUCCCACCUGCCAGUCCUCACCAGCAAACCCCUACAGUAAAAGGUAAUUUGUCGGCUUUUGUGCACCCACAACCCCUCUACCUCCUUCCUCUCCCAGCAUUAGUGAUGGUGGAGAUUUGCUGAGGGGACAUGGGAGCUCUGUUCUGCUUUGUGGAAGGACUGCUGGGGACAGAGGGCCGAGCUGGAGGCUGACCCGCUGGGCAGACAGCAUCCCUGUUGCAUGCAGUGAAGAAGAAGGGGUGAUGCAGGGAUGAUAAUCCAACACACCUCGCUUGCUGUCAACUCUGAAAAGUUUUAUUUUAGCAAUAUGCACACUACUUAAUGAUUUGCAAAGCUAAAUAAUAUUACAACAAAACAAAAAUAAAACAGAAAAGAGUUACUGGAACACAACAAAUGUUUUAAGAAAACUUAGAACGUGACUUGGAACCAAAUAUUGCUUGCCUUGUUUUACUGGUAUUGAAUACAAAUUA